rnacentral:lncRNA from 1 species
CUGAUGAAUCUGGAUUCGCGGGUACACUUAAAGACUCUAGAUGCAGACAAUAGAUGGGGCAAACAACUGGGUGAUAACGAAAAGGAGAAGAUGAUAAGAGAAGAAGAAUUGUUGCGACAUCCCGCGCAAAAGAUGAAGAAAAAGAUAUAUAAAAGACAUGAAUCGCCUCAAAAGUCUCUACCUACAGUUGAGAAGACAAGUCGGAAUUCUUCCAACUUGAGUCCUUCAGCUAACGAGGACGCUGCUCAAGCUGAACCAGCGAGCAUCAUGA